UUCAGUUAUGGAAGUGCACUAAUUAUCCAUUGCUAUAGAAUUACAACCUAACGAUUAUCGAUCUACGAAGCAUUCGAUUUAAAUUGGCGAGUUCAACAAACUAUAAUGAUUCUACACCUUCCAAAGAAGAAGGCAAACCACAAAUGGUGGACUGAUUUAUUUGAAAAUGCUUUUAACGAUUCAAGGACUCUAAUACAUACACAAGAAGAGCUUAUCAACACAAUACUAACAUGUUAUUGAAGUUAGCAAAUAAAAUUUCAGAUCCUUGUGCCUGAAUUAACUCGAAAAGGUGAUAUACAAAAAUCAGAUUCUUCCCCAAUUUUAAACAUUAAAGAGUGCUCAAGCCCAAAAUAAGAUACCGUCACACCUCCUUUUUCACUACACCUGCAAGGGCAUAAAUGAGUUUUUUCCAAUUAAAGAACAACCGGAACGGGUUUAUUAUUAAGAUUCAGAGUCGUCAGUUGGGAGAUUAAUGGUGUCCCAAGUCACCAGUUGAAUCUCGAACUGAGGAAAAAUAUUGACUCUGUUAACAGUCCGCGAACCAGAAAUC
rnacentral:lncRNA from 1 species